UACGUAGGAGGCGAGCGUUGUCCGGAAUUACUGGGCGUAAAGCGCGUGUAGGCGGUCGUGCGACGUCGCGGAUGAAAGCCCUCUGCUCAACGGGGGGAGGGUUCGCGAAACGGGCCGACUCGGUGGAGUGUGGUAGGGGGGUGCGGAAUGGCCGGUGGAGCGGUGAAAUGCGUAGAGAUCGGUCAGAACACCAGUGGCGAAGGCGGCACCCUGGGCCAGUACUGACGCUGAGACGCGAAAGCGUG
rnacentral:rRNA from 1 species